rnacentral:lncRNA from 1 species
CUGAAGGAGGUGCUCACGGUGGACGCGUUGCAGACACGCGACAAGAAGGUGGCGGCGAAGAAGGAGAUCAAGGCCCGGUUGGAGGACCGGUUCAAGAGUGGCAAGAACCGGUGGUUCUUUACCAAGCUUAGGUUCUGAGUCGUUGGCUCCCUCUCUAUGUUUUUCCAAUUUUGGUUGUUAUGUGAUACUAGCAUAUAAUUUUGAGGAUUAUUAUUGCGAGUUUUGUUUUAAAUUUGUGCUUAAUUUUCUGUUCAUUUUUCCCAAGAAAUAUAUUUGAAAAUCACUAUGAACUAACUAACUGUCAAUUAGAUUAGAUAUAUCAAUGGCCUUUGAAUCUAGCAAAUAAUAGUUUAAGUAAUUUAAAAAAAAAAUGCAAACAUAAAAUAUGUGUUAAUAAUAGUAAGAUAUUUCUUAGCUUCUUCUUCUUUGACUUUGAAAGCAUCAUCAACCAAUCAACUUCCCACAAAAUACCCAAUGCCACGUGUACUAUAUUGACGCGCCCCUUUGGUUCUGGCGGCUGCCAGCCAAGUACGAAAUAUUGAAAAUGUGGUAUAGAAAUGUUGUAAAAGUAGAAUUAUCCAUAAGAGUAAGACUCUCUAGCCAGAAAACCAAAAUAUUUGUUUAAGCUCUCCUCCAAUCAAUUUUUUUCCCCAAACGAAAGAAAGUUUAUUAAAGUCGAAGGGAAAGGUUUAUAAAAAACUCACUCAGGCCAGACUUGGUUCCAUAUGGUUAUCUCCUACUUUUGACACAAAAACCGGAACCUAGUGCGUUGCCUUAUUACACUGAAGGGGAGUAUCUUUGAAAACUACCUGCUGCAACUGUCCAGCAAGCAUCUGGAUAUCAAAAACAAUCUAAGCUCUCCUCCUAUCUUCAUCUCCUACAGUAUCAAUCUUUAGCGUAUAUUAUAUAGACUGCUCAUCAUGAGUCACGACCACCACCAUCAUCACCAGGCUCCAGGUAAAUUACCAAAUUGCUUAUACUAUCUUAAUCUCCUACACUAUCAAUCUUUAGCAUAUAUAUAUAUAUAUAUAUAUAUAUACUGCUUAUAUAUAUAUAUAGUUUGUUUACUUUGUUCAUGAUCAAAUAUCAACGUUUGUGUUUACCAAAUUGCAGAGGUAUAUCCACCACCACCACCUUCCGGUGCAGUUCACGGAAACAGUCAUGGUGGUCCAUAUGUUGUUGCACCACCAGUUGCUUACCCCAUGAAAAAUGAUGGUCCUGAAUGCCCCCAACAACCACCUCCCUGCCCCGAGCCUGCAGAGUCUCAUCAUCGUAAGGGUGCUGGAUUUUGCACAGGAUGGUAAUUGAACAUUGUCAACCCCUUAAAUUACAUUUUUCUCAAGUAAAAUAAAGGGCUAAUAUGUUAUCAUGUUUAUACCUAAUUCCAUAUUGGUUUCUUUGUAUCGACAGUUGUUUUGCCUUGUGUAGCUGCUUUUGCGACUUGUGUUGCAUGCAGUGGCAGACCUAUUAAGGAGAAAGGAAGUACAGCUGCACCUCCCUCUUUGAAAAAUCACCUAAAGAGGUCGGAGUUUGCCCCUUUUGUGGUGCUCACCCUAAACCCUAAACCAUCCCUUCCUCUCACCUCAUGUCAUCAUGAGCAAUAGUACUCGUUCAUAUAAUUUUGAGGAGGAUUAUUAUUGCAAGUUUUGGUUUAAAUUUGUGCUUAAUUUUGUGUUCAUGAAUUAUAUUUAAAAAUCACUAUGAACUAUCAGUCGAUUGUUACAUUGCAUGAUUUUGAUGUCCGUUUAUAAAUAGGUUAGAUAUAUCAACUAUGACAUAAUGUGCCUAAAGCAUUGGUAGUAAAACUCAACCGGGACAGUUAAGUUAUAUACAAGGCCACUGAUGAUGCAUCUGACUUAUAUUCAGGCAUCGACCGACACGCUUAGAGCAUUACAUGCUGCUUCCCCUCAUUCUGAGGGUGAACAGUAACAGUUGCACAGGCCUCAGCUCCCACAUCAGAAACAGAUAUAGAGCUUACCAUUGGCCAUUCUGCUGAUUCUGCUAAUUUUUCAAUUCAUGUGUCACUAUUUUGUGAGUCCACAUGAACUCAUUAAUUGUCACUUCAUCGUUUAACAAAACAUUUGACGGUGACAAAUGUAUGAUUAUGGAUUAGUAAGAAAAUUAAAUUUUAGGUACGAAAAAAAGUUGAAGUAGUAAGAAUUAAAUUUUAGAAAACUUUCAGAUAGUAAAGUGAAAUUCACGCUACAUAAAUUCUUUAUUUAUUUUGACAUAACCUUUCAUUUUGGAGAAAUUUUGUGUCCAGAUUUCAAACGGCUCCAUGUUGGUCUUCACUACGAUGCAGAGGCAUUCUUUGUUUGUCUCUUAUAAGAGUGUAACCCUUUUCCAAAAUAAUUUACAUUAGCUACAUUGUUUUAUAUUAAAAUAUUAAGAUAUUUCUUAGCUUCUUCUUCUUCUUUGACUUUGAAAGCAUCAUCAACCAAUCAACUUCCCACAAAAUACCCAAUGCCACGUGUACUAUAUUGACGCGUCCCUCUGGUUUUGGUGGCUGCCAGCCCAGUACGAAAUAUUCAUAAGAGAAAGACUAGUCUAGCCAGAAAACCAAAAUAUUUGUAUAAGCUCUCCACCUAUCUUUUUUCAUUUCCCCAAACGAAAAAAAGGUUUAUUAAAGAGAAUGGAAAGGUUUACAUCACUGACAAAAAUAUCUAAAAUCCGCUCAGGCUAGGCCACACUUGUACCAAACAUGCUUCUCAAGUCAAAAAUCCACUAAGACCACACUUGGUUCUAAACAUGACGCUUGUUCCAAACAUGCUUCUCAAAAAUCCACAACAUGCUUCUCAAAAAUCCACUCAGGCCACACUUGGUUCUAAACAUGGUUACCUCCUACUUUUGACACAAAGGCCGCAACCUGGUGCGCUGCCUUAUUACACUGGCGGGGAGUAUCUUUGAAAACAUGCAACUGUCCAGCAAGCAUCUGGAUAUCAAAAACAAUCUAAUUAAGCUCUCCUCCUAUCUUCGUCUCCUACAGUAUCAAUCUUUAGCAUAUAUUAUAUAGAUUGCUCAUCAUGAGUCACGACCAGCACCAUCAUCAUCAGGCUCCAGGUAAAUUACCAGUUAAUGUCUGUUUAUGUGAUUUAAUUGUCUAAUUAAUCCCAUUUAAUAUGUUACUUAGAUUAAUAAACUAAGAUACGAGGUUGAAUAUUGCAAUAUGCAAACACAACUAUCAAAGUCUCAAACAUUAGAGGGGUUUUCACUUCUGAUCUACAUACAAAUUAAACCUUGCUUUGUACUUAUUUGGUGUCCCCAACAAAAUGACAUGCUUUAAAUUGUUACAAAUUAAGUGUUUAUGAACAUAUUUUAUAUAUAUAUAUAUAUAUAUAUAUAUAUCAACGUUUGUGUUCAACUUUGUUCAUGAUCAAAUAUCAACGUUUGUGUUUACCAAAUUGCAGAGGUAUAUCCACCACCACCACCUUCCGGUGCAGUUCACGAAUACAAUCAAGGUGGUCCAUAUGUUGUUGCACCACCAGUUGCUUACCCCAUGAAACAUGAUGGUCC